GCUUUCUUUCUGAAGAUCUUGUCUUGGUGAAGCUUUCCCCUGCAAACCUAGGAUCUUCUGAUAUGGAUGUCCUGCUUGCAUGAGGAGAAUGCUGUGAAGAGGCAUAAUCACCGAUAAAUUCAAGGCAAGAUGGUGUAAAGGUUUGGGACUUGCCCUCAGAGUGCCAGCGGACUGCUGCUACCUCUCCAGCUCAUUGUUCCCGAUUGCAUCAUUGAUGGUUAACCACUUGUCCAGUGCUGGCUUGGAGGAAAAGAUAUGUCAAGGUACUGAUAUACAUCUAAAAUGUGUCUAAUUGAAUCAAUCAAUCAACUGUCAAGAUGAGUCCUCUAGUAGUAGCAUUGAAACAGCGAUAACCCACCAGCAGAUAAUGAAAUUCUUUCAACGAUUCUGAGUGACACUUGAAUACAAACAUCUGACAGAAAUUUUCAAAUUAGAUAAUACCUUUGAACAGGUGGCUGGCACAUCUCUCUGCAGUUCAGAAAGAGGUAGUGCCUGCUAUUCACCAGGCACUGAAGAGGAAAUUGCUCUCCUGCCAUGUAUUUUUUCAGUUAUAGUUCAUAACAGUAGUGCAAAGCUUGGUGAUUGCUUCUGAGAGAUUACUUAUUUGCUUGGAUUUGGAGGGUGUGGGUUUCUUUUUGCCACUUACUUUAGGGGUUAUGGUAGGAAAGACUUCAGUCAUAAGAUAGUUAUUUCUUGGUACAUCUGGACAAUGCGUGCUUGGAUUCAAAAGCUAAAUUAGAAAUGAGAAAAGAACAGUUUAAGUGAAAUGGGUUUUCUCAUAUUUUUCUUAAAAAAAAAAAUCUGUCUUAAUGUAAAGCAUUU
ensembl:lncRNA